rnacentral:rRNA from 1 species
CCCUUAGAUGUUCUGGGCUGCACGCGCGCUACACUGAUGCGAUCAACGAGUUUUACCUUUCUCGGUAGAGAUGGGCAACCUUUUGAACUCGCAUCGUGAUGGGGAUAGAUUAUUGUAAUUAUUAAUCUUCAACGAGGAAUUCCUAGUAGGUGCAAAUCAUCAGUUUGCAUCGAUUACGUCCCUGCCCUUUGUACACACCGCCCGUCGCUGCUACCGAUUGAGUGUCCUGGUGAAUUAUUCGGACCGACAGCAUCGGAAGUUUCUUCUGUUGCCGUUGGAAAGUCUUGUAAACCCUGACACUUAGAGGAAGGUGAANUCGUAACA